AAUAGCUGCAUAGCCGACUGAGGGCUGGAAUCAGCUGAAAUUCACUCUCUCACGUCUGACAGCAAGGCUGCUGUGUGCUGAGACCGUCGCUGGGGCUGACAGCCGCUUUAUGUGUUCUCUUCACAUAAGCCAGCUUGAGCUUCUUGAAAACAUGAUGGAUAGCUUUCCAAGAAGAUCAAACUCUCCCAAAAAGUAGAGAUUAAACAACAACUAAAGAUGGCGAAUCAUAGAAGUUACCACCAUUCCUGGUAUUGGUCCCAGUUCUUCUAAGAAUAUUUUUGAUGCAAGAGCUGUUUUAUCUUGAAUCCUACAUAGCUUAUUUUCCAUUUUUCCAUUCAAAUAAAACAACAAGAGAACAAUAGAGUGAAGAAAAAGGAUGUUUAAGCCUAAAUCCAAGACUGAGGUACAAGACCAAGAAAAGUGGGGCAGAAGAUGGAAAAGAACAAGUGAAGAAUCUUGGAAACAAUUCAAAGGCCAACCCUGCUUAUUCCUGUAAACCAACCAGUGAUCUCUGGCUGCUGCUUAGAAGAAACAAGAGGGAUGGCUAAUUAAACAGGUUGAAGUAAAGGAGCCAGCCCAAACCCACCAAAACCAAAAUGGUGACGAGAGUGACAUCUGGUCGUCCUCACUGCUACACUCCCACCAGCACCACGACAGUUUACAAAUUCUAUGACAAUGUCAGGAAGUUACCCUAUGUGGUCUAAAAAGAGGAGGCAUGAAUAAUCCACCCCUUGUUUAGCAUAUCAUCAAGAAAUAACCAUAAAAAUAGGCAAUCUGCAGCCCCCAGGCUGCUCUGUCUAUGGAGUAGCUGUUCUUUUUUUCUUUUACUUUCUUAAUAAACUUCCUUUCACUUUGCA
ensembl:lncRNA C2CD5-AS1 C2CD5 antisense RNA 1